CCUACGGGAGACUGCAGUGGGGAAUAUUGCACAAUGGGGGAAACCCUGAUGCAGCGACGCCGCGUGAGCGAUGAAGUCUUUCGGUAUGUAAAGCUCUAUCAGCAGGGAAGAAAAUGACGGUCCCUGACUACGAAGCCCCUGCUAACUACGUGCCAGCAGCCGCGGUAAUACGUAGGGGGCACUCGUUAUCCGGAUUUACUGGGUGUAACGGGAGCGUAGACGGUCCUGCAAGCCAGAUGUGAAAGCCCGGGGCUCAACCCCGGGACUGCAUUUGGAACUGUAAGGCUAGAGUGUCGGAGAGGCAGGCGGAAUGCCUAGUGUAGCGGUGAAAUGCGUAGAUAUUAGGGGGAACACCAGUGGCGAAGGCGGCCUGCUGGACGAUGACUGACGUUGAGGCUCGAAAGCGUGGGGAGCAAACAGGAUUAGAUACCCUAGUAGUC
rnacentral:rRNA from 1 species